rnacentral:tRNA from 1 species
GUUCUGGCUCAGUGGUAGAGUGCUCGUCUCAUAUGUGUCAGGCCCUGGGUUCAAUCCUCAGCACCACA